CAGUCGUUGGCGGAGAAAGGAGGACAAAGAACGAACACAUGAAGGAGGGACAAAGAACGAACACAUGAAGGAAGCUUAGCAGCCAGAGACUCUGUAUUCCCAUGGAAAUGUGAAAUAGGGACAGUGAGGGAGCCAAAGACGGUGCAAGUCCUUCUGUAUGUUCCCUGCCUUGAGUCUUCUAGACCUCUACUGCUGGUGUCUUCUGUUCAGAAGUAUAUUCUCUUUAAGCUUGGCAGCCAGAGAAUCUUUAUUCCAUGGAAAUGUGAAAUAGUGAC